UGCAGUCGAGCGGACUGAUGGGGAGCUUGACUCCCCUGACGUCAGCGGCGGACGGGUGAGUAACACGUGGGCAACCUGCCUCACAGAUUGGGAUAACUCCGGGAAACCGGGGCUAAUACCGAAUAAUCAAAGGAACCGCAUGGUUCCCUUGUAAAAGUUGGGUUUUACCUAACACUGUGAGAUGGGCCCGCGGCGCAUUAGCUAGUUGGUGAGGUAGUGGCUCACCAAGGCGACGAUGCGUAGCCGACCUGAGAGGGUGAUCGGCCACACUGGGACUGAGACACGGCCCAGACUCCUACGGGAGGCAGCAGUAGGGAAUCAUCCGCAAUGGACGAAAGUCUGACGGUGCAACGCCGCGUGAGUGAUGACGGUCUUCGGAUUGUAAAGCUCUGUUGUUAGGGAAGAACAAGUGCCGUUCAAAUAGGGCGGCACCUUGACGGUACCUAACCAGAAAGCCCCGGCUAACUACGUGCCAGCAGCCGCGGUAAUACGUAGGGGGCAAGCGUUGUCCGGAAUUAUUGGGCGUAAAGCGCGCGCAGGCGGUUCCUUAAGUCUGAUGUGAAAGCCCACGGCUCAACCGUGGAGGGUCAUUGGAAACUGGGGAACUUGAGUGUAGGAGAGGAAAGUGGAAUUCCAAGUGUAGCGGUGAAAUGCGUAGAUAUUUGGAGGAACACCAGUGGCGAAGGCGACUUUCUGGCCUACAACUGACGCUGAGGCGCGAAAGCGUGGGGAGCAAACAGGAUUAGAUACCCUGGUAGUCCACGCCGUAAACGAUGAGUGCUAGGUGUUAGGGGUUUCGAUACCCUUAGUGCCGAAGUUAACACAUUAAGCACUCCGCCUGGGGAGUACGGUCGCAAGACUGAAACUCAAAGGAAUUGACGGGGGCCCGCACAAGCAGUGGAGCAUGUGGUUUAAUUCGAAGCAACGCGAAGAACCUUACCAGGUCUUGACAUCCUCUGACAACCCUAGAGAUAGGGCGUUCCCCUUCGGGGGACAGAGUGACAGGUGGUGCAUGGUUGUCGUCAGCUCGUGUCGUGAGAUGUUGGGUUAAGUCCCGCAACGAGCGCAACCCUUGACCUUAGUUGCCAGCAUUUAGUUGGGCACUCUAAGGUGACUGCCGGUGACAAA
rnacentral:rRNA from 2 species